GGCCUGAGAGGGUGACCGGCCACACUGGGACUGAGACACGGCCCAGACUCCUACGGGAGGCAGCAGUGGGGAAUAUUGCACAAUGGGCGAAAGCCUGAUGCAGCGACGCCGCGUGAGGGAUGACGGCCUUCGGGUUGUAAACCUCUUUCAGCAGGGAAGAAGCGAAAGUGACGGUACCUGCAGAAGAAGCGCCGGCUAACUACGUGCCAGCAGCCGCGGUAAUACGUAGGGCGCAAGCGUUAUCCGGAAUUAUUGGGCGUAAAGAGCUCGUAGGCGGUUUGUCGCGUCUGCUGUGAAAGCCCGGGGCUCAACCCCGGGUCUGCAGUGGGUACGGGCAGACUAGAGUGCAGUAGG
rnacentral:rRNA from 3 species